UACGUAGGGACCAAGCGUUGUUCGGAUUUACUGGGCGUAAAGGGCGCGUAGGCGGCAUAUUAAGUCAGCUGUGAAAUCUCCGAGCUUAACUCGGAACUGUCAGCUGAUACUGAUGUGCUAGAGUGCAGAAGGGGCAAUCGGAAUUCUUGGUGUAGCGGUGAAAUGCGUAGAUAUCAAGAGGACCACCUGAGGUGAAGACGGGUUGCUGGGCUGACACUGACGCUGACAGCGCGAAAGCCAGGGGAGCAAACGGG
rnacentral:rRNA from 1 species